UACCGUUUGAUCAUGGCUCAGAUUGAACGCUGGCGGAAUGCUUUACACAUGCAAGUCGAACGGCAGCACGGGUGCUUGCNNNUGGUGGCGAGUGGCGAACGGGUGAGUAAUGCGUCGGAGCGUACCGAGUAAUGGGGGAUAACGCAGCGAAAGUUGUGCUAAUACCGCAUACGCCCUGAGGGGGAAAGCGGGGGAUCGUAAGACCUCGCGUUAUUCGAGCGGCCGACGUCUGAUUAGCUAGUUGGUGGGGUAAAGGCCUACCAAGGCGACGAUCAGUAGCGGGUCUGAGAGGAUGAUCCGCCACACUGGGACUGAGACACGGCCCAGACUCCUACGGGAGGCAGCAGUGGGGAAUUUUGGACAAUGGGGGCAACCCUGAUCCAGCCAUUCCGCGUGAGUGAAGAAGGCCUUCGGGUUGUAAAGCUCUUUCAGCUGGAACGAAACGGUACGCUCUAACAUAGUGUGCUAAUGACGGUACCAGCAGAAGAAGCACCGGCUAACUACGUGCCAGCAGCCGCGGUAAUACGUAGGGUGCGAGCGUUAAUCGGAAUUACUGGGCGUAAAGCGUGCGCAGGCGGAUUGUUAAGCAAGACGUGAAAUCCCCGGGCUUAACCUGGGAAUGGCGUUUUGAACUGGCAGUCUAGAGUGCGUCAGAGGGGGGUGGAAUUCCACGUGUAGCAGUGAAAUGCGUAGAGAUGUGGAGGAACACCGAUGGCGAAGGCAGCCCCCUGGGAUGACACUGACGCUCAUGUACGAAAGCGUGGGUAGCAA
rnacentral:rRNA from 1 species